AACAGGAUUAGAUACCCUGGUAGUCCACGCCGUAAACGAUGUCGACUUGGAGGUUGUUCCCUUGAGGAGUGGCUUCCGGAGCUAACGCGUUAAGUCGACCGCCUGGGGAGUACGGCCGCAAGGUUAAAACUCAAAUGAAUUGACGGGGGCCCGCACAAGCGGUGGAGCAUGUGGUUUAAUUCGAUGCAACGCGAAGAACCUUACCUACUCUUGACAUCCAGAGAACUUAGCAGAGAUGCUUUGGUGCCUUCGGGAACUCUGAGACAGGUGCUGCAUGGCUGUCGUCAGCUCGUGUUGUGAAAUGUUGGGUUAAGUCCCGCAACGAGCGCAACCCUUAUCCUUUGUUGCCAGCGGUUCGGCCGGGAACUCAAAGGAGACUGCCAGUGAUAAACUGGAGGAAGGUGGGGAUGACGUCAAGUCAUCAUGGCCCUUACGAGUAGGGCUACACACGUGCUACAAUGGCGCAUACAAAGAGAAGCGACCUCGCGAGAGCAAGCGGACCCCAUAAAGUGCGUCGUAGUCCGGAUCGGAGUCUGCAACUCGACUCCGUGAAGUCGGAAUCGCUAGUAAUCGUAGAUCAGAAUGCUACGGUGAAUACGUUCCCGGGCCUUGUACACACCGCCCGUCACACCAUGGGAGUGGGUUGCAAAAGAAGUAGGUAGCUUAACCUUCGGGAGGGCGCUUACCACUUUGUGAUUCAUGACUGGGGUGAAGUCGUAACAAGGUAACC
rnacentral:rRNA from 1 species